GGAUGUGAGGGCAAUCUGGCUGUGACAUCUGUCACCCCAGUGAUCGCCAGGGUUGAUUCGGCUGAUCUGGCUGGCUAGGUGGGUGUCCCCUUCCUCCCUCACCGCUCCAUGCGCGUCCCUCCCGAAGCUGUGUGCUUGGUCGAAGAGGAUGGCCUUCCCCGAACAGAGACGGACCUGUCUUGGGUCGAGGUAUACAAGAAGCUAUGCUCCCUACUAGAACCUCCAAACAAGCAUGCAUGAAGCCCCAGCUCCACACACACAUACACAAUAAAU
rnacentral:snRNA from 1 species